rnacentral:rRNA from 1 species
UACGUAGGGACCAAGCGUUGUCCGGAAUCAUUGGGCGUAACAGCGCGCGUAGGUGGCUUCGUAAGUCCGUUGUGAAAGUCAAAAGGCUCAACCUUUGAAAGCCGAUGGAUACUGCGGAGCUAGAGUACGGAAGAGGCGAGUGGAAUUCCUGGUGUAGCGGUGGAAUGCGCAGAUAUCAGGAGGAACACCAAUAGCGAAGGCAGCUCGCUGGGACGUUACUGACACUGAGGCGCGAAAGCGUGGGGGAGCGAACAGG